rnacentral:rRNA from 1 species
AACGAACGCUGGCGGCAUGCUUAACACAUGCAAGUCGAACGAGACUCCGGGGCUUGCUCCGGGGAAAAGUGGCGCACGGGUGAGUAACACGUGGAUAACGUUCCUAUUGGUUCGGAAUAACCUGCCGAAAGGCGGGCUAAUGCCGGAUGAGCUCGUAUUUGGUUUGCCAAGAACGAGGAAAGCGGGGCAACUCGCGCCGAAUGAUCGGUCCGCGUCCCAUCAGCUAGUUGGUGAGGAACGGCUCACCAAGGCUACGACGGGUAGCUGGUCUGAGAGGAUGAUCAGCCACACUGGGACUGAGACACGGCCCAGACUCCUAC